rnacentral:tRNA from 1 species
UUUAAUAUGGCAGAUUAGUGCAGUAGAUUUAAGCUCUACAUAUAAAGAAUUUUUUUUUCUUUUAUUAGAA